rnacentral:rRNA from 1 species
UGAGGAAUAUUGAGCAAUGGGCGCAAGCCUGACUCANCAACGCCGCGUGGAUGAUGACGGCCUUCGGGUUGUAAAGCACUUUUAUGAGGGAAGAGCAAGGACUGUACCUCAUGAAUAAGGAUCGGCUAACUACGUG